rnacentral:rRNA from 1 species
GGAUGAACGCUAGCGGCGCGCUUAAUGCAUGCAAGUCGAACGAUGAGGCCCCUACGGGGGUACAUCAGUGGCAGACGGGUGAGUAACACGUAGGUAACCUGCCCUCGAGACGGGGAUAACGGCUGGAAACGGUCGCUAAGACCCGAUAUAGCCUGACCUUCGGGAGAAGGUGAGAGGAAAGGCUUCGGUGCUCGGGGAGGGGCCUGCGGUCCAUCAGCUAGUUGGAGAGGUAACGGCUCCCCAAGGCAAUGACGGGUAGGGGGUGUGAGAGCAUGGCCCCCCACACUGGGACUGAGACACGGCCCAGACUCCUACGGGAGGCAGCAGCAGGGAAUAUUGCGCAAUGGACGGAAGUCUGACGCAGCGACGCCGCGUGGAUGAUGAAGGCCUUCGGGUUGUAAAAUCCUUUUCCGGGCGAUGAGGAAGGACACUAGCCUGGGAAUAAGCGUCGGCUAACUACGUGCCAGCAGCCGCGGUAAGACGUAGGACGCGAGCGUUAUCCGGAUUUACUGGGCGUAAAGCGCCUGCAGGCGGUCAGGUAAGUCGGUUGUGAAAGCCCCGUGCUCAACGCGGGGAGGCCAAGCGAUACUGCGUGACUUGAGGGCGGAAGAGGGGAGUGGAAUUCCCGGUGUAGCGGUAAAAUGCGCAGAUAUCGGGAGGAACACCAGUGGCGAAGGCGGCUCCCUGGACCGCACCUGACGCUCAGAGGCGAAAGCUACGGGAGCGAACAGGAUUAGAGACCCUGGUAGUCCU